GGACCCGCACAAGCGGUGGAGUAUGUGGUUUAAUUCGAUGCAACGCGAAGAACCUUACCAGGGUUUGACAUCCUGCGAAUCUUUUGGAAACAAGAGAGUGCCUUCGGGAACGCAGUGACAGGUGGUGCAUGGCUGUCGUCAGCUCGUGUCGUGAGAUGUUGGUUAAGUCCCGCAACGAGCGCAACCCACGUCUUUAGUUGCCAGCAUUUAGUUGGGCACUCUAGAGAGACUGCCGGUGAUAAACCGGAGGAAGGUGUGGAUGACGUCAAGUCAUCAUGCCCCCUUACAUCCUGGGCUACACACGUACUACAAUGCUACGGACAAAGGGCAGCAAGUUCGCGAGGAC
rnacentral:rRNA from 1 species